rnacentral:rRNA from 1 species
UACGGGGGGGGCAAGCGUUGUUCGGAAUUACUGGGCGUAAAGGGCUCGUAGGCGGCCAACUAAGUCAGACGUGAAAUCCCUCGGCUUAACCGGGGAACUGCAUUUGUGACUGCAUAGCUAGAGUACGGUAGAGGGGGAUGGAAUUCCGCGUGUAGCAGUGAAAUGCGUAGAUAUGCGGAGGAACACCGAUGGCGAAGGCAAUCCCCUGGACCUGUACUGACGCUCAUGCACGAAAGCGUGGGGAGCAAACAGG